rnacentral:rRNA from 1 species
CCAUCAGCUUGUUGGCGGGGUAACGGCCCACCAAGGCGACGACGGGUAGGUGGUCUGAGAGGAUGGUCACCCACACUGGGACUGAGAUACUGCCCAGACUCCUACGGGAGGCUGCAGUCGAGAAUCAUCCGCAAUGGGCGAAAGCCUGACGGUGCAAUGCCGCGUGGGGGAUGAAGGCCUUCGGGUCGUAAACCCCUGUCAGAGGGGACGAAAAACAUGACGGUACCCUCAGAGGAAGCCACGGCUAACUACGUGCCAGCAGCCGCGGUAAUACGUAGGUGGCGAGCGUUAUUCGGAUUUACUGGGCGUAAAGGGUCCGCAGGGGGUUUGCCGAGUCCGAUGUGAAAGUCCGCAGCUCAACUGCGGAACUGCGUCGGAUACUGGUGAACUUGAGUGCGCGAAGGGCGAGCGGAAUUCCAGGUGUAGCGGUGGAAUGCGUAGAUAUCUGGAAGAACACCGGCGGCGAAAGCGGCUCGCUGGCGCGCCACUGACCCUCAUGGACGAAAGCGUGGGGAGCGAACAGGAUUAGAUACCCUGGUAGUCCACGCUGUAAACGGUGCAGACUCGAUGCGGGGGGCGGUCCCCUCCGUGUCUAAGCCAACGCGUUAAGUCUGCCGCCUGGGGACUACGGCCGCAAGGCUAAAACUCAAAGGAAUUGACGGGGGCCCGCACAAGCGGUGGAGCAUGUGGCUUAAUUCGAGGCAACGCGAAGAACCUUACCCGGGCUUGACAUAUUCCGGACCGCCUGUGAAAGCAGGUUUUCCCUUCGGGGACCGGUAUACAGGUGCUGCAUGGCUGUCGUCAGUUCGUGCCGUGAGGUGUUCGGUUAAGUCCGGCAACGAGCGCAACCCGUAUCGUCAGUUGCCAUCAGGUAAUGCUGGGCACUCUGGCGAGACUGCCCGUGUCAAGCGGGAGGAAGGCGCGGACGACGUCAAGUCCGUAUGGCCCUUACGCCCGGGGCUGCACACGUGCUACAAUGGGCGGUACAGUGGGAAGCGAAACCGCGAGGUGAAGCGAAUCCCCAAAACCGCCCCCAGUUCGGAUCGGAGUCUGCAAUUCGACUCCGUGAAGUCGGAAUCGCUAGUAAAGGCGCAUCAGCAACGGCGCCUUGAAUUCGUUCCCGGGCCUUGUACA